rnacentral:rRNA from 1 species
GACGAACGCUGGCGGCGUGCUUAACACAUGCAAGUCGAACGGACAGGCCCUGCUUUUGUGUGGUGCUCGAUUGGCGAACGGGUGAGUAUCACGUGAGUAUCCUCCCCUUGUCUUUGGGGUAUCUUCAGGAAACUGGGGCUCAUAUCGGAUAGGAUCUCUUGCUGCAUGUUGUGGGUUGGAAAGUUUCGGCGGUUGGGGCUCGUCUCGCUGCUUCUCCGCUUGUUUGUGUGGUAGUUACUUACCAAGGUUUUGACGGCUAGCCGGCCUGAGAGGGUUACCGGCCACAAUGGGACUGAGGUACGGACCAGAAUCCAACGGGAGGCAGCAGGGGGAAAUAUUGCGCAAUGGGCGGAAGCCUGAUGCAGAAACGCCGCGUGCGGGAUGACGGCCUUCGGGUUGUAAACCGAUUUCGACUGUGACGAAGAGUGAGUGACGGUAAUGGGUAAAGAAGCACCGGCUAACUACGUG